CGCGUCCCGACCGACAGCUCCGCAAGCCCGGCUGGGCAUCCACCGGGCUGCUUUCAGCGGAGUGGUGGUGCGUGGUGCUCACGAAUGAGACGCAGUGUGCCAGUUGUUUCGUGCAACUGUGCCGAGUGAUCUGAGGAGAGACAUUCCUGUCGUGCGCCCACCGGAUUCCUGCCACCGCAACUCGUCUCCUUCGGAACCCCGCCUCGCCGGAAAGAACCACGUCGUCAUCGUAAGCUGCUUCAACGUGAACAAGUGGAACAACCAUGGAAAGCGUUGGGAAAGACUCUGCACAAGCAGCUG